UACGUUUGUUCUUGGUAUAAGCUUUUGUGUCUAUGCAUGCACACGAAAGCUUAUACCAAGAACAAACUUA